GGCUGGUCCGAAGGUGGUGAGUUAUCUCAAUUGAUUGUUCACAGUCAGUUACAGAUUGAACUCCUUAUUCUACUUUUUCCCCACUUCUCACUACUGCACUUGACUAGUCUUAA
rnacentral:Y_RNA from 1 species